UCCCUGGUGGCUCAGAUAGUAAAGAAUCUGCCUGCAAUGCAGGAAACCCAGGUUUGAUUUCUGGGCUGGGAA
rnacentral:tRNA from 1 species